AUCUUUGAGCCUGCGGUCUGGCAAAAGCCUGCAAGUGUUGUCCUGCAUUUGUUGAAAGAACAGAUUUGGUUGAGAGAAUGAGCAAUCUCCUAAAGCUGUGCUGGGGCACGUUGGGGAGGUCGGUUCAUGCAGUCUUGGAAUGAGCUGACACUGCUGUCUCCCAUCAGUGAGCCAUGGGGAACGGAGGGACAGAGCCCUGGGCCUGUGUGGCAAAAUCAGCAGAUGAGCUGUGGAGGGCUGGGACGCAUCCAUGGUGGAUAACACAUUACAGCUGCACUCUGGGUGCCAGGAUGCUGUGGAAGGAGCUGGAUGCUCUCAUGGUGAUCUUGGACACCUGAGCUGUUGGAUGAGCUGAGGACACAACACUGGCAACAGACACAAGUUCACCACUGCCUUAGAGAAGUGUAGAGGUCUUGCUCUCCUGUUGUACAGUCUCCACACCCUGCCCGGUGGGAGCAUCAGACCUGCAAUCUGAAGAUAACCUUUGUGCCUCCAGCUGUGUCUGCCCAUCCUGCCUGGGGGAUCUUCUUCCCAGUUUCUUCCUUCAGCAUUCAGGAUCACUGCUGUCUGUGCUGGCAUGACCCGAGCAUGCCUGGGGGCAUGGAGACUCCCACAGAUUAAACACCG